UAAUGUCCCAGUUCAGAUUGCAGGCUGCAACUCGCCUGCAUGAAGUCGGAAUUGCUGUAAUCGCAGAUCAGCAUGCUGUGGUGAAUACGUUCCCGGGUCUUGUACACACCGCCCGUCACACCAUGGGAGUCAGCAACGCCCGAAGUCAGUGACCUAACCGAGAGAAAGGAGCUGCCGAAGGCGGGGCAGGUAACUGGGGUGAAGUCGUAACAAGGUAUC
rnacentral:rRNA from 1 species